rnacentral:pre_miRNA from 8 species
GGUUUAAUGCUAAUCGUGAUAGGGGUUUAGUGCUGAUGAACACCUAUGCUGUUAGCAUUAAUCU